rnacentral:rRNA from 1 species
UACGGGGGGGGCAAGCGUUGUUCGGAAUUACUGGGCGUAAAGGGCUCGUAGGCGGCCAACUAAGUCAUACGUGAAAUCCCUCGGCUUAACCGGGGAACUGCGUCUGAUACUGGAUGGCUUGAGUUUGGGAGAGGGAUGCGGAAUUCCAGGUGUAGCGGUGAAAUGCGUAGAUAUCUGGAGGAACACCGGUGGCGAAGGCGGCAUCCUGGACCAACACUGACGCUGAGGAGCGAAAGCCAGGGGAGCAAACGGGG